AGGGGUGUAGUUCAAUGGUAGAAUAGCGGUCUUCAAAACCGUUUGUUGUGGGUUCGAGUCCUGCCACCCCUGCCA
rnacentral:tRNA from 1 species